CCUACGGGAGGCAGCAGUGGGGAAUUUUGGACAAUGGGCGCAAGCCUGAUCCAGCAAUGCCGCGUGAGUGAAGAAGGCCUUCGGGUUGUAAAGCUCUUUUGUCAGGGAAGAAACGGUCUACUCUAAUACAGUGGGCUAAUGACGGUACCUGAAGAAUAAGCACCGGCUAACUACGUGCCAGCAGCCGCGGUAAUACGUAGGGUGCAAGCGUUAAUCGGAAUUACUGGGCGUAAAGCGUGCGCAGGCGGUUAUAUAAGUCAGAUGUGAAAUCCCCGGGCUCAACCUGGGAACUGCAUUUGAGACUGUAUGGCUAGAGUGUGUCAGAGGGGGGUAGAAUUCCACGUGUAGCAGUGAAAUGCGUAGAUAUGUGGAGGAAUACCGAUGGCGAAGGCAGCCCCCUGGGAUAACACUGACGCUCAUGCACGAAAGCGUGGGGAGCAAACAGGAUUAGAUACCCUGGUAGUCCACGCCCUAAACGAUGUCUACUAGUUGUCGGGACUUAAUUGUCUUGGUAACGCAGCUAACGCGUGAAGUAGACCGCCUGGGGAUACGGUCGCAAGNUUAAAACGUCAAAUGAAAUUGACCGGNUAGAGAGUAGACGAGGACGACACGAGGGAGGAGG
rnacentral:rRNA from 1 species